rnacentral:rRNA from 1 species
AUUGAACGCUGGCGGCAUGCCUUACACAUGCAAGUCGAACGGUAACGCGGGGCAACCUGGCGACGAGUGGCGAACGGGUGAGUAAUGCAUCGGAACGUGCCCAGUAGUGGGGGAUAGCCCGGCGAAAGCCGGAUUAAUACCGCAUACGACCUACGGGUGAAAGGGGGGGAUCGCAAGACCUCUCGCUAUUGGAGCGGCCGAUGUCAGAUUAGGUAGUUGGUGGGGUAAAGGCCUACCAAGCCGACGAUCUGUAGCUGGUCUGAGAGGACGACCAGCCACACUGGGACUGAGACACGGCCCAGACUCCUACGGGAGGCAGCAGUGGGGAAUUUUGGACAAUGGGCGCAAGCCUGAUCCAGCCAUGCCGCGUGCGGGAAGAAGGCCUUCGGGUUGUAAACCGCUUUUGUCAGGGAAGAAAUCUUCUGGUUAAUACCUCGGGAGGAUGACGGUACCUGAAGAAUAAGCACCGGCUAACUACGUGCCAGCCGCCGCAGUAA